rnacentral:rRNA from 1 species
UACGUAGGGGGCAAGCGUUGUCCGGAUUUAUUGGGCGUAAAGAGCGUGUAGGCGGCUAGGUAGGUCCGUUGUGAAAACUCGAGGCUCAACCUCGAGACGUCGAUGGAAACCAUCUAGCUAGAGUCCGGAAGAGGAGAGUGGAAUUCCUGGUGUAGCGGUGAAAUGCGUAGAGAUCAGGAAGAACACCAGUGGCGAAGGCGCUCUGCUAGGCCGUAACUGACACUGAGGGACGAAAGCUAGGGGAGCGAAUGGG